rnacentral:misc_RNA from 1 species
GUACCCUCAAGCUUUGCUUGGUGUUGGGCGUCUUGUCUUUUCCCUUGCGAUUAGACUCGCCUUAAAGUAAUUGGCAGCCAGUGUUUUUGGUAGUAAGCGCAGCACAUUUUGCGUCUUAGUCCCUCAACUGUGGCAUCCAUAAAGCCUCUUUCUCAC